UACCAGCUCUCCGAGUGGUAGGGAUGAUUAUUGGGCUUAAAGCGUCCGUAGCCGGCUUAGCAAGUCCCCUGUUAGAUUCAGCGACCUAAUCGUUGAGCCGCGGGAGAUACUACUAGGCUAGGAGGCGGGAGAGGUCGACGGUACUUCUAGGGUAGGGGUGAAAUCCUAUAAUCCCGGGAGGACCACCAGUGGCGAAGGCUGUCGACUAGAACGCGCUCGACGGUGAGGGACGAAAGCUGGGGGAGCGAACCGGAUUAGAUACCCGGGUAGUCCCAGCUGUAAACGAUGCGGGCUAGGUGUUGGGGUGGCUACGUGCCACUUCAGUGCCGCAGGGAAGCCAUUAAGCCCGCCGCCUGGGGAGUACGGCCGCAAGGCUGAAACUUAAAGGAAUUGGCGGGGGAGCACAGCAACGGGUGGAGCGUGCGGUUU
rnacentral:rRNA from 1 species